AUGGCUUAUACGUUUGCCUGAGCUCUGACUGCUCACCCUACAGUGCUCUCUGAACAGAAUCAGCCAGAGUGACUCACUCAGAAAACUGUUACCUCAUUUUGUCCACUUCUAUUGUGUGGACUGAAGGUUGACUUUAGCUGGGAGACAAAAGUGGGGAUCAGAAAUAAGGUGACUAAUUGAGGAUCUCAAUUACAAAGCGACACAUAAGAACAUUAGAGGCCUUUGAGAGGAAGGAUACUCAAGAAGGGAGUUUGCAUUCUCCUGGAGGAACAAAGCACCUGUCAGAGAUAACACAGAAGACAAAGAAGUCCUGGGAAGGAAAUAUGCUGAUGUCAUAAAGCUAUUGAAGGCUAGCGAUGCGAAGGACUGCUAGAGUGCCAGGGUUGUGGGCAGGCAUGCCAGAAGUACCCUAAUGGAUCCUAGGACCAGCUCCUUCCCGCGGCAGUCACCUUGCUGGUUGUAUCUAACUGAAG
rnacentral:lncRNA from 1 species